rnacentral:lncRNA from 1 species
AUGUCAUAUCAGAGUGCUGGUUUAGAUGGCAAGGGAGUUAAUGGGAUUUAAUCGUCGGAGUUGGUUGUAGAGGUGGAAGCCGACUAGAUGGGAGUGGAUGGUUAGAUUGUGCGAACCGGAAGGUUGACAAGAGUGAGGGUGGAGAUGAACAAGGCCUAUAGGAUGCUGAGGGGAGGUAUUCACACCAGAUUUCCCAGAGCUUCUC